CGAUCUGCUCUGUCGUUAUUGGUCAGUUGCUCAGAACGCUUCUCGGAAAUUUCACGCCCCUUUUACCAUAUUGGGAAGUCUGCAGCUCCGGCUUCGAGGGCAGCAAAAACACCGUGAGACCCGGAGUCUGAAACCGAAGGAGAGGAUGAACAACCAUCACAACCUUUGCCACGACGGCUGGAGCAGGACGUUUCAGUGUGCAAAAUGCCUACAGAAGCAGAAAAGGUGUGCUGCAGAGAAAUACCACAGGUCAUUUUUACAAGUACGCUGUACAGGGGUGUAACACCUGUUCCUUCCACCUGCAUGACUCAACAUCCGGGGCUAGAAGCAAACAGUCUUAACCCAUAUACACUCCAAAAUAUACACAACAUUCUUCCAGUGGACUACGGGCCUUUGAGAGGGAGAACAGCAGAAGAGCUUUACAGACACUUGGCCUAUCGUAGCUGUGUGAGCUGGUGCUGGGGAUAUUUGGGACGCAACUGCAGAGUAGUCAUCCCGUCGUGUGUUGUCCUGAGGAUCCGGCUUGAGUUUCCAGACCCGACCGGACAGUAUCUUGGCUUCCGCCCGCCGCUUGGCUGAACCUGGACUUGUGUCAAGCCACUACUUCCUCUUUUGAGGGACAAAGUCUGAGGCAAGAUCCUUGAGGACUGGUAUUCUCUGAAGCUCCUCAAGAAAUGAUGCGAGGUCCGGGAACCUCUUCAAACACCAGUGCAAUCAAAUCGGCUGUCCUGUAGAGGUUGUUGCUUGCUCGCGUUCAGCAUUUUCAUUGUAAUGAAUCACUGACAGAAACAACCUACAAUACAAAAAGGGAGACACAAGGGAUGUCUUCAUGUGCUCAACUCUUCACACAGCACAUGCAGGUGACAGUCCAGAGGAGAGUCAAAGGUGCAGAUGGUCGCUGGGAAUUGAAGGAUGUUCCUGUUCCCCGAGCUGUCAAAGACUACAACCGGUGCAAAAGUGGGGUCUAGCUCCACAGCCAGAACCAUACAAACUCCUCCUCCAAGUGGAACACACCAUAGGCCAGUGCACAUCAGCAUGGACCGCACCAUUGGUCGGCGAAAGUGCAAGUAUUGUCACAAAAAGACCCCAUUGAAAUGUGCCUCAUAUGAUGUGCCCUUGUGCUUUAUUCCCAAGAGAGACUGUUAUAAUGACUGGCAUGUUGCAAAUAACUUGUAGGAUGUCACUCAUAAAGAUAGUUUGUAAAUAAUGUAAAUAUGUGUGUUUUCUAAAGUUUGCUGUGUUGCAAGAGUUUUCCACAAUAACACUUGUUUCUACUCAUUUUUUACACAGAACGGUAAUGCACGAAGCUAGAAAAAUGCACUUUAAAUGUGUUUAUGCUUCUAUAAAUCUAUUUCAGCAAUACUGAUAGUGAUUCUGAGUAUUGUAUAGCGUAGCUCUAAUUGUUACCUUUUCAUAGAGCCAAGAAUGAUGCAUGUACGUCAAAGCGUUCAGGAGUAGCAGCCUUUUUAUCCCAGGUAUGUCAUCAUGGUUACCAAGGGUCCUUUUGGAGUCUCCAAAUGGCACAGUUUGGAAACGCCUUGACAUACCCAUAGAAAAACAGCAAAUUUGUCAAAUUUGGACUGAAACUAGGUAAGGCUUUAUGACACAGCCCAAAUCACCUUUCAAGCUAAUAGCGCCCAGCUGUAGUCAUCUAUUGGCUUAUUUUUAAAGAAAAUAUUCAGGCGGAAACAAAAUUAUUUUUUUAUUUGUAGUUUCAGCUUGUAUUAUUCAAUACCAGUCGUAAAAACUGUGAUUAUGGCUGUUUGGGAAGAAACUACAGAGUGUUACCUUUCAAAUGUGACCUUGUUUGAGCUGUAACUCUAAAUGGUUCAAAAACAGCAUACAAUUUGCUUUGGGUAUGUCUGGAUAGGCGUUUUUUGGCAUUAUUUUGCAAGAUCUCUAAGAAGUUAUUAAAGGUGAGGAGCAGAAUCUUGAAGUCGAUGUGAUUAAUGGAGGGGGGUCACAAGAGGAUGCAAGCAGCAGAGUUCUGGACCAGUUGAAGUUUGUGGUUGGACUUGAGAGGGGGAACAGUGAGGAUGGGAGAUUUAAAAAGGGUGUGAACGAUGAUGGAGGUACUGUUGGAUGUGAUGGACGGGCGGAGGUGAUUUAAGUUACGUAGAUGGAAAUAAGCGGGCCGAGUGACAUUAUUGAUGUGAGCUCUGAAGGAUAGUGUGCUGUCGAGGAGGACACUCAGACUCUAAACCUGAGGGGAGAGAGAAACUGAGGAGUGAUCAACAGGGAGAGAAAAACUGUCAGGUUUUGAAAUUGUGGAUUUGGUGCCGAUUAGGAGAACCUCGGUUUUGUCAUGCUGUUUCUUUCUUAUGAAAAACAAUUUUCAAAAGACAAACAAGGAUGAUAAGUGAGACUUUUGAUAAGAAGAAACUGAAAAUCUGAAGGAAUAUUUUAUUGAUUCUGAGAAAAAUAAUCUUUAAUGUUUAAAUAUGUUUAUAGUCUGAAUUGUAUGUGUAAUAAAUGAAUUAACUUAA